ACAGGGGCCGCUCCAAGUUUGAGGACUUCGACUUCUUGGCAAAGUAUUGCAUUUUCAGCCAGGAGAAGCUGGCAGAAUACAAAAGGGCUUUUGAAGCGGUGGACAGCGAUGCUGAUGGUUACAUCUCCUGCCUGCAAGUGCUGCUGGCACUAAAGAAGAUCAUCCCUCCAGAGCUGCUCUCUGAUGAAGAAGAGAUAUACGUC